UGACAAGAAACACUUAGGUUUUUUCUUCUUCUUGCAUAUAUAGGAACAAGACCCAGGAAACCAUAGGCUAGUUUAAUCAUCAUGUCAAUUAAAUGAACGAGCAGCAGCAUUGGUUAGGAGCAACUUCUGCCUCCUGCAUACUGCCUUCCUCAGCCAGAAGGGGAUGGGGAAGAAGACAGGCUCUUCCCCUAGGAAUACAAGAACUAAAAAGAGCAUGACUGGAUCAAUUUCGUGUAGUUAGUGUGACCUUGAACUAG